UGAAGACUGCAGCAGAGCUUCGGAGGACCGCGGGGAAUUUGGGGUUAGGCAGGCGGUAGGAGCCGUUGGAGAGGUAUGUGGAGGUUCUCGGCGUGGGGUGAGCUGGGGAGAUGCGGCGCGUUCCUGCGGGAGUUGGAUGACGAGGCUUGGGAAGUCUCUUUACUUCCUCAACUUCCAAAUCUGAACCAUU